rnacentral:rRNA from 1 species
AUUGCACGCUGGCGGCAGGCCUAACACAUGCAAGUCGAACGAGUGGCGGACGGGUGAGUAAUGUCUGGGAAACUGCCAGAUGGAGGGGGAUAACUACGGGAAACGGUAGCUAAUACCGCAUCACAUCGGAUGGGCCCAGAGGGGAGUAGCUAGUAGGUGGGGUAAAGGCUCACCUAGGCGACGAUCCCUAGCUGGUCUGAGAGGAUGACCACCCACACUGGAACUGAGACACGGUCCAGACUCCUACGGGAGGCAGCAGUGGGGAAGAUUGCACAAUGGGCGCAAGCCUGAUGCAGCCAUGCCGCGUGUAUGAAGAAGGACUUCGGGUUGUAAAGUACUUUCAGCGGGGAGGCGUUACCCGCAGAAGAAGCACCGGCUAACUCCGUGCCAGCAGCCGCGGUAAUUC